GAUGAAGAACGCAGCGAAAUGCGAUACGUAAUGUGAAUUGCAGAAUUCAGUGAAUCAUCGAAUCUUUGAACGCAUAUUGCGCUCUUUGGUAUUCCGAAGAGCAUGCUUGUUUGAGUAUCAGUAAACACCUCAAAAGACUUUCAUUUUUGUAAUGAUUUUGGACUUGAGCAAUCCCAACACCAGUCUUCACGGAUCGGCGGAGGGUUGCUUGAAAUGCAGGUGCAGCUGGACAUUCUCCUGAGCUAACAGCAUAUCUAUUUAGUCCCGUCAAACGGAUUAUUACUUUUGCUGCAGCUAACAUAAAGGGAGUUUGACCAUUUUGGCUGACUGAUGCAGGAUUUCACAAGGGUCGGUAAAACGAUUUUUGUAAAACUCGAUCUCAAAUCAAGUAAGACUACCCGCUGAACUUAAGCAUAUCAAUAAGCGGAGGA
rnacentral:misc_RNA from 1 species